CACAUGCAAGUCGAACGGAUUAAAGAGGAGAGCUUGCUCGAAGCUUUAGUUAGCGGCGGACGGGUGAGUAACGCGUGGGUAACCUGGCCUAAAGAGGGGGAUAACACUGCGAAAGUGGUGCUAAUACCGCAUGAAGCUAUCGGGUUGCAUGACCUGAUAGCCAAAGGAGCAAUCCGCUUUAGGAUGGACCCGCGUCUGAUUAGCUAGUUGGUGAGGUAAAGGCUCACACAAGGCGACGAUCAGUAGCCGGCCUGAGAGGGUGAACGGCCACACUGGGACUGAGACACGGCCCAGACUCCUACGGGAGGCAGCAGUGGGGAAUCUUCCGCAAUGGGCGAAAGCCUGACGGAGCAACGCCGCGUGAAUGGCGAAGGCCUUCGGGUUGUAAAGUUCUGUCUUCAGGGAAGAACACAAUGACAGGUACACUGAGGAG
rnacentral:rRNA from 1 species